rnacentral:rRNA from 1 species
GAUGAACGCUGGCGGCGUGCCUAAUACAUGCAAGUCGAGCGAACAGACGAGGAGCUUGCUCCUCUGACGUUAGCGGCGGACGGGUGAGUAACACGUGGAUAACCUACCUAUAAGACUGGGAUAACUUCGGGAAACCGGAGCUAAUACCGGAUAAUAUAUUGAACCGCAUGGUUCAAUAGUGAAAGACGGUUUUGCUGUCACUUAUAGAUGGAUCCGCGCCGCAUUAGCUAGUUGGUAAGGUAACGGCUUACCAAGGCAACGAUGCGUAGCCGACCUGAGAGGGUGAUCGGCCACACUGGAACUGAGACACGGUACAGACUCCGACGGGAGGCAGCAGUAGGGAAUCUUCCGCAAAGGGCGAAAGCUUGACGGAGCAACGCCGCGUGAGUGAUGAAGGUCUUCGGAUCGUAAAACUCUGUUAUUAGGGAAGAACAAAUGUGUAAGUAACUAUGCACGUCUUGACGGUACCUAAUCAGAAAGCCACGGCUAACUACGUG